GACGAACGCUGGCGGCGUGCCAAUACCUGCCAGUAGAACGCACAGUUUAUACCGUAGCUUGCUACACCAUAAACUGUGAGUUGCGAACGGGUGAGUAACGCGUAGGUAACCUGCCUGGUAGCGGGGGAUAACUAUUGGAAACGAUAGCUAAUACCGCAUAAUAUUAAUUAUUGCAUGAUAAUUGAUUGAAAGAUGCAAUUGCAUCACUACCAGAUGGACCUGCGUUGUAUUAGCUAGUAGGUGAGGUAACGGCUCACCUAGGCGACGAUACAUAGCCGACCUGAGAGGGUGAUCGGCCACACUGGGACUGAGACACGGCCCAGACUCCUACGGGAGGCAGCAGUAGGGAAUCUUCGGCAAUGGACGAAAGUCUGACCGAGCAACGCCGCGUGAGUGAAGAAGGGUUUCGGAUCGUAAAGCUCUGUUGUAAGAGAAGAACGGGUGUGAGAGUGGAAAGUUCACACUGUGGCGGUAUCUUACCAGAAAGGGACGGCUAACUACGUG
rnacentral:rRNA from 1 species